rnacentral:rRNA from 1 species
GAUGAAUGCUGGCGGCGUGCCUAACACAUGCAAGUCGAGCGGCAGCGCGAGUAGUUUACUACUUGGCGGCGAGCGGCGGACGGCUGAGUAACGCGUGGGAACAUGCCCCAAAGUGAGGAAUAACUGCCCGAAAGGGUAGCUAAUGCCGCAUAUGAUCUUCGGAUUAAAGGAUUUAUCCGCUUUGGGAGUGGCCUGCGUUAGAUUAGGUAGUUGGUAGGGUAAAAGCCUACCAAGCCUACGAUCUAUAGCUGGUCUGAGAGGAUGACCAGCCAGACUGGAACUGAGACACGGUCCAGACUCCUACGGGAGGCAGCAGUGAGGAAUCUUCCACAAUGGACGAAAGUCUGAUGGAGCAACGCCGCGUGCAGGAUGAAGGCCCUAGGGUCGUAAACUGCUUUUAUAAGUGAAGAAUAUGACGGUAACUUAUGAAUAAGCACCGGCUAACUACGUGCCAGCAGCCGCGGUCAUACGUAGGGUGCAAGCAUUAUCCGGAGUGACUGGGCGUAAAGAGUUGCGUAGGUGGUUUGUUAAGUGAAUAGUGAAAUCUGGAGGCUCAACCUCACAGACUAUUAUUCAAACUGGCAGACUCGAGAAUGGUAGAGGUAACUGGAAUUUCUAGUGUAGGAGUGAAAUCCGUAGAUAUUAGAAGGAACACCAAUGGCGUAGGCAGGUUACUGGACCAUUUCUGACACUGAUGCACGAAAGCGUGGGGAGCGAACCGGAUUAGAUACCCGGGUAGUCCACGCCGUAAACUAUGGAUACUAGCUGUUGGGGGUAUCGACCCCCCCAGUAGCGAAGCUAACGCGUUAAGUAUCCCGCCUGUGGA